CACUUAUUAACGACUAAAGACUACUCGAUGAGGCCAUGACUUGUCUUCUCCUACUACCUCUACUAUACUACGCCCUUCCUUACUAGAGGCCACCAGUGCCCAAGCAAGACAACAAGAACCACCGCCCAACAAAGACAACCACUGACCAUUGCCCCCUAGCGCCACAUCUACUACCCCCUGCAAUAGGCAAUCAACGCCAACCACCGUAUCCCCAACUCCCUCUCACCACUACUGAUUUUUUUGACUUUUUUCAAUUUCUUUGGAAGAUGCAGAUGGUGGAGUGCCUUCAUUUUCUGUUCUUUCAUGAAAAUCAGCAUUAUUCUGAUGAAAGAUCAAAGACCUCACCGUGGAUUUCGUUCUGGUGGCUUUCCUGGUAGCCCAUAUGGUAACUACCCGUUUCUUGGUUCUUUAAAAUUUGAAGAUACGACAUUGUCUUUGUUAUUUGGUCGGUUUCCUGAAACUUGAGUUGUUGAUGCUUUUUGAGAUUACUUGUGAAAAUACAUGUUAAUUUUCGUGAUCUAAAAUUUUUGGUUAUUCUUCACAAAAGGGGGAGUUGAACUCAAAAUAAUCAUAUAUAGUACAAAUUCAGUAGUGCAAGCUGUCUUAUGACUGAUGAGUAAUACAAUUAAUCAAUCACUUAUUAUAAGGCUUCUUAUAAUAUAUUUCUAUUUACCCAAGUGAGUGUUUUAAUGUUCCAUUUCUAUUUUAUGUGAUGAGUAAUACAAUUAAAUUGCACUUGUAAGGUUACUUGACUGGAUCAUAUGCAAUAAUAUGUGAACCACUCCUCCAAUGGAACUUACCACGAUAGACUAUGUCUAUGACAUAGUUGUAUCGUCAAUAAAGUGAAUUUAUAUUAUAUGACCAAUCUCAAAUAAAAAUUGAUGGACAUUCCACGCAAUAUAUUUACCAAGACUUCGUAAGAGAAGAAAAAACAUAAGCAUAGAAAAAUUCAUCUUUUAUAAACUUAUUACAUUUGACUUUUGGCACGACAAAAUCAGUCUUAUUAUAAAGAUAGGAGUUUGAGGAGUAACACAUAAAUCCAACCUGUAAAACUGCAAAAUGUUAAUGAUGAGUUGCUAGUGGAAUUUUUAACCAUUGUCGUGUGAGCGGAUUACUUAUGUAGUAAACAUCAUUCUUGGGCAUUUUGUCGUUUCUUUAAAAGUUACGUGGCUAAUUUUUUUUCGCUCGGAGAUCAUUUGUGUGACAAAAAUCCUUGAGAAAUACCUACUAUUUUGAACCUUGCAUAUUGUUGAAGUUUUCUUGAAAGAAAAUAGGGUGAAAAAUCUAAGAAUUUAUUCCUAGUUAACCGAGUAGGAAGGUUUUGAUGAUCCUAAUAAGAAGACACCGAUUACAUCGAAGUCGUGUUGGAAUGGUUUGAUUACCAUUUUCAUUAAAAUUCCGAUAGAUAAUGUUCAUUGCUUAAAGCGCGUUUCCAAAUAAUAAUAAUAAUAAUAAUAAAAAAUAAUAAUAUAUUAUGGUUUUAAAUUACAACGAAAUAGCCUUGACACGUAGCAUCAACCCUAGUACCCUACCCACUAUUAGAAAAAGUAAAAUAGCCUUGUUAGUUGUCUGACAUUUAAUCCGUCCUCUAAUGUCGGACAUAAGAAAUAUACAUCUUCUUCGUCGUUUCAUAUUCUGUGUUUCAUCUUCGUUUUUUCUCCAUCUUCUUCGUCUGUUCUUCAAUCUUCAGUCCAUCUCUACAUUAAAAAAACAACAAA